rnacentral:rRNA from 1 species
CUACGGGGGGGCUGCAGUGGGGAAUAUUGCACAAUGGGCGCAAGCCUGAUGCAGCCAUGCCGCGUGUAUGAAGAAGGCCUUCGGGUUGUAAAGUACUUUCAGCGGGGAGGAAGGGAGUAAAGUUAAUACCUUUGCUCAUUGACGUUACCCGCAGAAGAAGCACCGGCUAACUCCGUGCCAGCAGCCGCGGUAAUACGGAGGGUGCAAGCGUUAAUCGGAAUUACUGGGCGUACAGCGCACGCAGGCGGUUUGUUAAGUCAGAUGUGAAAUCCCCGGGCUCAACCUGGGAACUGCAUCUGAUACUGGCAAGCUUGAGUCUCGUAGAGGGGGGUAGAAUUCCAGGUGUAGCGGUGAAAUGCGUAGAGAUCUGGAGGAAUACCGGUGGCGAAGGCGGCCCCCUGGACGAAGACUGACGCUCAGGUGCGAAAGCGUGGGGAGCAAACAGGAUUAGAUACCCCUGUAGUC